AGGUGCGAUCAUACCAGCACUAAUGCACGAGAUCCCAUCAGAACUCCGUAGGGAAGCGUGNUUGGGCGAGAGUAGUACUAGGAUGGGUGAAAUCUUGGGAAGUCCUCGUGUUGCACCUU
rnacentral:rRNA from 2 species